GGACGACUCUCUGGUUAAACCCAGUGGCGCUUUCAGAUUUCAGAGCAACUCAAUGCGCUUUCACGCAUGAGAACAUAUUACGCAUACACACAGAGGAUCUGCUUUCUAAAGCUGGAAAUGUAAAGCUUGUAACUCUUUGAUACCUUGAACAGGAAGUGCUGAGAAAGUGAGGAUAGUCCACAGGGAGGAUGAUUUGCUCUGAACAAGACCCACAUCCUUCUGCAGUGAAGAAGAAGCGACCCAUGCGUCCAGGCAGCUACCCAUCCCCAGCUCUGUGCUGCAUCUGUGGGCUUUGCAUCAUGCUUGCUGGGCUCAACAUCACUCUUGUGGGUGCUUUCGGCUUUGCUAAUAUGAUGCCCGCAAACAACCCGCCCAUCAUCAUCGGGCCCCUCCUCCUGCUGGUGGCGCUGUUGUCUUUUGGACUGUGUUGCAUGUUUAGUCGCAGGCCUUCCACCCAGUCUUCUCAUGCCAACACAAGACCGGACCACUGGGGAUUAAUGAGGAUGAGUGGAACCGCAUUUGAGAUAGAGAGCAGCGAGCACACACUGCAGGACACCACAGUCAUUCAGAUCAGCCCGACUAACUCUCUAUGCUCUUCCCACCACUCUAGUCCCACCCACCUACCUGCUGUCAUGCUCCACCUAUCAGAGAUUGGCAACCUUCCAAAUGGAAGUCAUUCAUCCUAUCAAUUGUCACCAAGAGAAGACGAUAUGAUUCCGCUUAGCUUAUAUGAUGAGAGAGAUACAUAACCUUGGCUCAUUUAUGUGAUAUUGAAUCAUCUAGUCUGCACGAAGCGACGCUUUUUGCACCAUCCUUCAAAAGUCUUGACAGCUUAACGCUCUACACACAAAGACCUGCUUCGACCGGGCAUGUCAGAUCGGUGUCACUGUGGACAUUACUGCAAUGACAGAAGCUCAUGCGUUCAUCUGACACUGUGGAAAGGAAGACAAGACUUCUACCUCAUCCUGCUGAUUCUUAGACAUUUGUCGUCUACAGACGUAAAUAAGUGUUCC
ensembl:lncRNA